CGCGGCCCCCAUGGGAGUUUUCAGGUCACCACAGUGCUGUUGGUUGGUGCUAGCGUCCUUCUGAGAAUUACCUUGGUUUCUAGAGAAGACCAUGUAGAACAGUUACAUCUCAAAAGAGUGAAAGAGUGCAAGUUCCACCAAGAAGGACUCCUGUUUGGAGAAGAUCUUCCACUAAGGCAGAGCCGGGUCGAGCUCACGGCAGUCCCCCUCCACCCCAGACCCAGUCUGGCUUCUGUGCCAGACCCGGCCGGACUCCAGCCAGUUUCAGGACCCAGCACAGACAAAGGAAUGCUCAGUUGAAGUCGGAAAGCUCAGACGAGUUCCGGGGGGACUCACCCACGACCUUCAGAGCCGGCAAGAAACCGUGAGCUUGGGGCUCAGCAGCGUGUUCAAAGAACCCAACCUUUGCAGCAACUUUGCUCAGUUUCCUGACCUGCGUGAAUGCUCAUAAAAAUGAACAAAAACAGUCAUUAUGGGCUGAACUGUAUUCUCUCCAAAUGAGUAUGUUGAAGUCUUAAUUCCCAGCAUCUCAGGAAUGUGACUGUGUUUGGAGAUGGGGUCUUUGAAGAGGUAAUUGCAGUAAAUGAGGUUAUUAGGGUAAAGUGCUGGUCUGAUAGGACUAGUGUCCCUAUAAAAAGGGACGAGCAGACAGACAUACUGAGGGUCAACACUGCGAAGACUCAGAAGAAGACCACCAUCUGCAAGCCCAGGAAAGAGGCCUUCGAGCGACCAAAUCUGCCGACACCUUGACCUCAGAACCUCCGGAGCUGUGAGAAAGUGCGUUGUUGUCUCAGCCCUGUCUGCGGUAUUUCACGGCAGCCCUGGCAGUUAGGAUCCUUCUGGAAUGGAAGGGUGGGUUUGGCUGCGUCCCUCUAGGACUGCCCUUACAUUUGGGUUCUGGGAGGAGCCAGUGAGCUCAUUUGCUUAGUAGUCUGUCCGAGGGAGUGCAGAGAGAUAGUGGGUAGGGCCUACGAGCAGAUUUAUUGCUCCGCAGCCAGACUUUUUGGCCAUGGCCAUCAGUUUUGGCAACCCACUGCAGUAUUCUUGCCUGGGAAAUCCCACAGAUAGCGGAUCCUGCUCUGCCGGGUCUACACCGCACCUACCCUGCCUGGGGUCGCAAAGAGUCUGACAUGACUAGUGGCUAAAACGACAACCACACUCUGUUUUAUUUCCCCUUAUCUGGGUAUCCUUGGCCGAGUUCCCUGACUGAUUUUUUUGUCUCAGUUCUUCACCUGAGAAGUGGAGACAGUCACUGUAUGUUUUCAUAAGGAUGUGAAAAACAAUGACUUUUAAAAAACAUACCAGUGCUUAGAACAGUCCUUAGCACACAGGAAUGAAUAAACUCUAGCAAUGGUUUGAAGAUAUUUACAUUUAGUACAUUAUUUGAAGUUAUUUACCUUUGCUAAAUAGAACUCUAGCAACUUUAAAUAAAUUUUAAGCAC